GAUGAACGCUGGCGGCGUGCCUAAUACAUGCAAGUCGAGCGAAGCGGGGACGGGUGAGUAACACGUGGAUAACCUCCUAUACGACGGGGAUUACUUCGGGGAACCGGAGCUAACCCGGAUAAUUAAUGCUGGAUCCGCGCUGCAUGAGCUAGUUGGUAAGGUAACGGUUUCCCAAGGCAACGAUGCAUAGCCGACCUGAGAGGGGGAUCGGCCACACUGGAACUGAGACACGGUCCAGACUCCUACGGUAGGCAGCAGUAGGGAAUCUUCCGUAAUGGGCGAAAGCCUGACGGAGCAACGCCGCGUGAGUGAUGAAGGUCUUCGGAUCGUAAAACUCUUUUAUUAGGGAAGCGGUACCUAAUCAGAAAGCCACGGCUAACUCCGUGCCAGCCGCCGCGGUAAUAC
rnacentral:rRNA from 1 species